UACGAAGGGGGCUAGCGUUGCUCGGAAUUACUGGGCGUAAAGGGCGCGUAGGCGGAUAGUUUAGUCAGAGGUGAAAGCCCAGGGCUCAACCCUGGAAUUGCCUUUGAUACUGGCUAUCUUGAGUUCGGGAGAGGUGAGUGGAACUCCGAGUGUAGAGGUGAAAUUCGUAGAUAUUCGGAAGAACACCAGUGGCGAAGGCGGCUCACUGGCCCGAUUCUGACGCUGAGGCGCGAAAGCGUGGGGAGCAAACAGG
rnacentral:rRNA from 1 species